rnacentral:rRNA from 1 species
UACGUAGGGGGCAAGCGUUGUCCGGAUUUAUUGGGCGUAAAGAGCGUGUAGGCGGCCAGGUAGGUCUGCUGUGAAAACUCGAGGCUUAACCACGAGAUGUCGGCGGAAACCAUCUGGCUAGAGUCCGGAAGAGGAGAGUGGAAUUCCUGGUGUAGCGGUGAAAUGCGCAGAUAUCAGGAAGAACACCCGUGGCGAAGGCGGCUCUCUGGGACGGUACUGACGCUGAGACGCGAAAGCGUGGGGAGCGAACAGG